CGAUGUAGCGUGACCAGUAAUAACAUAGAACAAUAAUAUUAAUAUAGAUAUUUGCAAUUUACAUUAUUUUAAAAAUACUUUGGACUUUCUUCCCUUUUAGUUAGCUCUUUUAUUAUCAAAUGUUAAUGAAGGUUGAAGAUAUCCCAUUAUUCACUAGUUGGCCUCUUUUAAACAUUUUCUUUCCUGCAGUAAUGACAAUGAUAGUGACAGACCUAGAAUUACCAGGGGAGGAAUGUAUGGAAGAAGCUAUCCAUUGAUACUGACAAGCGUGAAGGCAUUGCAUGGAGACUGGCGGAAACAGAGAAAUGAUGAAAAGAUAAGGGCAGCAGAGUUGUGCUUCAUGUACCGUGUCCCGCCUUGAGUCAAUUAGCAGACACAUCAUUGCACAAAGCAAUGGGUCUUCCAAGACUGAAGGAUAUUGGUAUCCAUUUUUUUUUAAAUAAAAAAAACAGCUUAUGUUUCCUUCAUCCAUUAAAAAUGCAAUCCUCUCAGUGGAAGACCCUGGUGAAAACAGCUAGAGGAAAUGUGCAGGUAUUGCGACAAGCCAUCGCUUCCCCCCCUCCCCCAUCUUAUAUUAAUUUGGAGAGUAGACUUGUUUAGUUUGCAUAUAUAUUUGUGAUCUGCUUUUGAAAAGGGAGAAUGGAAUGGAAUAACGUGUUGCCAAGUUUGUGUGUAUGUGUGUGUAUAUCUAAGUGAAGGCUUGUUUUCAAUUUAAAUUAAUAAAUUGAAAUAAAAUCCAAAGAAUGAAAAUUUAAGGGCAAAUGAACAGGAGUUAAACCAGUGUAUUUAAGAACAAAAUUGUUAACAUAAAUUGCAGUAAAUGUCAGCAAUAAGAACUGAGAUUGCACUGGUGGGAUAACUUGGUGGCAGGACAGCUGCAAAAGAUCCCAGGUUUAAGCCCAACAUUUCUAGGAAGACUUUGGAAAAAUAAAACAAAACCCACAAAGCAACAUUUUCCGGAGAGGAUUUAUAAAUUUGUAUUGAAAAAUUGAACUAGAUGGAUGCCUCGUCUCUUAAGCUAUGUUCUUUCUUCACUUUUAGAAUCCUGAGAACUUUGCAAUAUUUUGAUUAUCACAAAUCAUAUUCUUAGUGCGUUAAAAUCCAUCAAUGAGGAAAUGGCUUACUUCGUAACUCAGCAUUAUUCAUAAACACUUUAUAACAAAAUGAUGUUAACAACUUUACUUAAUCUAAGAUUAUGUUACAAUAGCAAAGCAGAAGAGCAGAUAAAUAUUCUUGAAAAGAAUAGAAAAACUUUUGUCAGUCUAAACUGAUAGAACAGAGCCUGGUUAAAACGACCUGAAUAUUUCAGUUUAUAUGGAUGUUCUUUUAAGUAUUUUGGAACCGAAUAAUUGAUGGAUGCUAAAGUCCAAUAACAGUAACUUGACCUGUGCUUAGAAAAAUAUUGUAUUCUAUAAUAGCUGAAGUUUCUAGACCAAAUUCAAGGGCAGCCUUGAAGCACAUUAUUAGACAAAGAGAGGCAGAAUAGGAACUGACAGUAGAGACAGCAGAUUUUAUAUUGGCAAAGAUUUUGCUAACUCACGGAAUCAGCAGAUAAUAUUUCAACUCACCAGAGAAGAAAGGCCAUUUAUGUGUGUUUGAAUAAGGUACUGGAUUGGAAGAUAAGAGUUCUAAUGCUAUUUAACAUAUGGAAGCCAACUGCAUGACUCUGAGCUGACAGGGCAGCCCUUUUUUUCCUGAGGGUGAACAAGAACAGAGAUCGUAGCUUGCAGUUCGAAGAGGUUGCUGGAGAUCAUCAUUCGGAGAGACCUCGGACUUUCAGCUGAACAAAGACUCUGCCUCUGCACUGUCACAGAGCUGAACCAAUAAAAACCAAACUGAUAUUACAAUUUUGAUUUCCCAGAGGGCCUGAAAGGGCUUAAUGUAAGAAUUAUUAUCCAUUGUGAACAGAGGCUGAUAUAGAAGACCCACAGGAUAUGGCAGGGCCGAUUUCUAAAAAUAAAAGGAUCCGUGCUUUCUUUAA